rnacentral:rRNA from 1 species
ACGCCAUCUGAUGGAUGAAUUGGCUUAGGAGAUUAUGAAGGGAGUGGUAAGCUGCUUUAAGCUUCGGGUAGGCGCACGCAGCCUUUGAUCCGAAGAUUCCCGAAUAGGACUUCCUAUCUAAAUUUUUUAAAUUUAGAUGUUCCCUUUGGGAACGUGAACCUUUCGAAAUGAAGCAUCUGAGUAGAAAGAGGAAAAGAAAUCAAUUGAGAUUCCCUUAGUAGUGGCGAACGAAAAGGGAAUAGCCUAAACUGAAUCUGUAUAAGUAAUUAUAUAGAGAUGUGGGUUUGUUAGUAACUUUGGGUCCUAAAUCAUGCAAGUCGAAAUAAUUUGGAAAAAUUUAAUGUAGAGGGUGAUAUUCCCGUAGAUGAAAGUGAUUGGAUCUUGUUAUUAACUAGAGUACUUGGCCUUGACAUUGGCUAAGGAAUAUGGGGGAAAACAGCCUCUAAGGCUAAAUACUACCUAAGACCGAUAGUGUAAUAGUACUGUGAAGGAAAUUUGAAAAGAACCCCGGAAGGGGUGUGAAAAGAGACUGAAAUCAGAUGGUUACAGACGUUUAUGGCCUGAAAGGGACAUCGCCAUUUUUUACAUAUUCUCGUUAGAGGAUGUGUUCGUUUGGAAAGAUAGUCCCAGGGUUAUAUAUUCCGUCUAGAAACACGGGCCAGGGAGUUUAUUGUUAUGGCGAGCUUAAAAGUUUGAAGCUUGUAGGCAAAGGGAAACCGAUUUUUCGUAACUAUGUAAAUAGCUUGGAAAAAGGUCUGAAAGGGCCUUAGUCAUAGCGAUAGGACUAGAAACCAGACGAUCGUGCCCUGAGUAGGAUGAAGCUAAGCGAAAGCUUGGUCGAGGUCCGCAAGGUACUUGACGUGCAAUUCAGUCCCCAAACUCGGGGUAAGGGUCCAAAAGACAAUCUAGUCUGGUGAUAGCUAGUUCUCAUCGAAGCUGCUCGUAGGCAGACCUGGGUGGACGUGAUUAACAUUGUAGAGCACCGAUGAAAAGGCAAGGGAGGUAAUACUUCCACCUUCUUUUCGAACUCCGAAUGUGUUAAUGCGGUAGAAGCCUGGAUACGGGUUUAUGUGGGGUAAGCCUCAUAACCGAGAGGGGAUUAACCCAGACUAAAGUUAAGGUCCCUAAGUAUCGACUAAGUGUCAAGCAAAAGGGUGUUUUCGAGCUUAAACAGCAGGGAGGUAGGCUUAGAACCAGCCAUCCUUUAGAAAGUGCGUAACAGCUUACCUGUCGAGCUCGUCAGCCCCGAAAAUGGACGGGGCUAAAGUCGAUCACCGAUACUUUAGAGGUAUAAAUUAAAUUUAUAUUUGGUAGAUGAGCGUGGGGCUUGGGCAGAAGCAGGGCUUUGAGGUCCUGUGGACCGAGUUCUAUUGCAGAUCCUGGUAGUAGUAGCAGCAUAUUCGGGUGAGAAUCCCGAACACCGGAAGGGCAAGGUUUUCCUGGCAACUCGUCGUAGGCCAGGAGUUAGUCGGUCCUAAAUGUAACCCUAACGGAAUUACAUGAAAAAGGGAAACCGGUUAAUAUUCCGGUACCAAUAUUCAUCCGCGUUUUAUACACAUUUAGUAAUAUUGUUUUGAGAUAGAGUAAGCAAAGCCAUCGCUUUGUUUAAUCUUACAAGGUUUAGGGAGUGUCGUAAUGACGAGAACUGAGCUUAGUAGAGAAUAGCUGGUCCUUAGAUUAGUUUACUUGAUUUUUAGAGCCACUGAAAGUAUUACUAAAGAGGAUGAAUAAUGUCCGUACUAAGAACCGACACAGGUGUCCCUAGGUGAGAAGCCUAAGGUGUAUCGAGUACAUGGUAGGCGAGGGAAUUCGGCAAAUUAGCCACGUAACUUCGGGAAAUGUGGUGCCUGAGUUUAAAUGUAAAUUUAAAACUUAGGUCGCAGUGACAAGGGGGUUUCGACUGUUUAAUAAAAACACAGGAGACUGCUAGCCCGAAAGGGUUUGUAUAGUCUUCGAAUCCUGGUCAGUGGCGGUACCUAAAACCUGGGUUCAACUGGGCUAAGGGCCGCUCAACACCGGGAGUAACUCUGACUCUCUUAAGGUAGCCAAAUGCCUUGUCGGGUGAGUUCCGACGCGCAUGAAUGGAUCAACGAGAGCCCCACUGUCCCCGCCUGCUACUCGGCGAACCUACAGGGUGGACGAACAGUCCACCAACCUCCAUCGGGAAGAGAAGACCCUGUGGAGCUUUACUGCAGCUUGUUGUUGUGAUGCGGCUAUAUUUGCAGAGAGUAACUGGUAGCUGUUAUGCAUACAUUUCCGGAUGUAUGUUAGGCAAAAGUGUAACACCAGUCUUAUAUGGCU